GACGAACGCUGGCGGCGUGCUUAACACAUGCAAGUCGAACGGAAAGGCCCUGCUUUUGUGGGUUGCUCGAGUGGCGAACGGGUGAGUAACACGUGAGUAACCUGCCCUUGACUUUGGGAUAACUUCAGGAAACUGGGGCUAAUACCGGAUAGGAUCUCCUGCUGCAUGGUGGGGGUUGGAAAGUUUCGGCGGUUGGGGAUGGACUCGCGGCUUAUCAGCUUGUUGGUGGGGUAGUGGCUUACCAAGGCUUUGACGGGUAGCCGGCCUGAGAGGGUGACCGGCGACAUGGGGACUGAGAUACGGACCAGACGGCUACGGGAGGCAGCAGGGGGGAAUAUUGCACAAUGGGCGGAAGCCUGAGGCAGAAACGCCGGGAGCGGAAUGACGGGCUUCGGGUUGAAAACCGCUUUCGCCUGUGACGAAGCGUGAGUGACGGUAAUGGGUAAAGAAGCAACGGCUAACUACGUG
rnacentral:rRNA from 1 species